UAAGCACCAAUUUAGUUUUCUUUUUUAUACCUAAUUUUUAUAUUCUUUUCUUUUCUACGAUUUCUUCUGUUUUUUCUCACCAUGGUCGCUUUCUUCUAUCUUCUCCACGAUGGUGAAGACUAAGCCACGGCGGAGGCAACAAAAUGAUGGCGAAGAUGAAACGGCGGCGGAUGCAACAGAACGAUGGUGCAGAUGGAACAUCAAUAGCGGCAAUAGCUGAACUAUAAUGAGGCAGAAUGGCAACAGCGGAGAAGGAAGAACGGAAGCGGCAGAGAAGGCAUCACAACAGCGGUAGAAGGUGAUAUGAUAUAUUUUUGUUGUACCAGAGACAAGAACUUUAAAUCUAAUAUCAAUGUAUAUGAGGAGUUCUUGCCCGUCAAAAUGGUGGAUCUCACUAUUAUAUAUGAUGUCAUUAGAACAUACUACUCGAGUAACUGGGCGCAUGUUGCUGUUGAAAUCACAAUCCCCAUGGUCGUCUAGAUAAUGACUUACUUUUUUAUGUGUUUUUAUAUUUUUGGCUUUUUGGCUUUUUUGUUAGUAACAGUAAAUGCUCUGAACUAUGAUAUACCAUGCCUUCUUUGGUUAUUUAAUUUAUGUUGCUGAGAAAUGACGGAGUUGAACUCUAUUCUUUUGGUGCCACUGCCACCAAAUUUUUUGAAGGUUUUGGCGUUUUAAUUUGUUGAAGAUGGACAAGUUUUAAAUGCUUCUGCUACCAUGGCAAGUGAUAUGAUGUAAGUUUGUUGUACAAGAGACGAGAACUUCAAAUCUAAUAUCACUGUAAAUGAGGAGUUCUUGCCCCGUCAAAACAGUGAUCUUACAAUUAUAUAGGAUGUCAUCAGAACAUACUGAUCGAGUUACUAGGCACAUGCUGCCGUAGAAAGAACAAUUCCCGUGGUCGUCUCGAUAGUUAACUUUUUUUGUGUGUUUUAUGUUUUUGGCUUUUUUUGUUUUUUGUCAAUAACAAUAAAUGUAGUUUAUUAUAUAAUUAAAUGUAGUGAUAUUGUUUACAAUCAGCUAUUUAAAUGUGAAUUAUUGACAUUUUUGAAUAA